AGGGAUGUAGCUUAGUGGUAGAGUACCUGGGUUCAAGCCCCACUAGUAAAAAAAAAAAAAAAAAAGUCAUAUGCUUAGGGAAAAUUUGAUAAAGAUGAAUCAUUAAAAAAAUUGCUGUUGGGCUGGGGUUGUGGUUCAUUGAUAGAGCGCUCACCUAGCAUGUGCAAGGCCCUGAGUUCAAUCCUCAGCAUCACAU
rnacentral:tRNA from 1 species